CUCGUGAACUAUACUUUCCAGUUGAUUACUUUAUAUUAGCCUAAUAUAGAUAAUCCAAACUUACAGAUGGUACUCACUGUGCUGAGCGCCGACCCGAUCAUUAAGAAAACAUUUUUCUUUUUCUCAAAAUUUGGCCGGACAAAAUUUCCGAUCAUUUCAGCAUUUGAUCGGAAAAAUCGGAAUUUGGUCGGAAAACCGCCGGCCGUUAUUUCAGGCUCUGUAAACAGUGUGACUGAACUACUGAAGAUUAUUAAAAUUAUUGCAUUUACCCAACACAAACAUAUAAUUAUGGAUAAUUUAUGCAUAAUUGUACAAAAGUAUGUUAUUUAAUUUCUAAAUAUUAAACACACAACCAUUGUGUGGGAGGGGGGGGGGGGCACACACCUUGGCCUUGGGUCAUACUUCAUUUAUAAUUUUAUAUCACUUUAUGGAAACCUUCGUCUAGGAUUGUACGUCUUUUGAAAC